UUUUGUUUUUUGUUUUUCGUUUCGUUUCGUUUCGUUUCAUUGGAUUUUCGAUCACAACCAUACCACAGUUAUCAUUGGUUGACGUGUCAUCAUCAAGCGCGAAAAAAAGGGUGAGGAUAUAAGUAGUAAGUGAGCUUUUGAAGGGAUUCUUUUAGACAUUUGUGAAAAAGAAGAAAGAAGUGAAGAUAUAAUGGAUGAUGU
rnacentral:ribozyme from 1 species